rnacentral:rRNA from 1 species
GACGGAGGAUGCAAGCGUUAUCCGGAAUUAUUGGGCGUAAAGCGUACGCAGGUGGCUCGACAAGUCUUUUGUUAAAGCGCAGAGCUUAACUCUGUAAAGGCGGAGGAAACUGUUGAGCUAGAGUAUGGUAGGGGCAGGAGGAAUUCCCGGUGUAGCGGUGAAAUGCGUAGAUAUCGGGAAGAACACCAGCGGCGAAAGCGUCCUGCUAAGCCAAAACUGACACUCAUGUACGAAAGCUAGGGGAGCGAAUGGG